CCCUUUCCAUGCCCUAUUUUUUAGCAGUUGGUGGAGUGAGCACCUCGGACAGGACGUGUCAGAGAGCGUCACUGCAGGCUGCCUGGAGCAGGGUAGGAGGAAAGCGGACUCCAUCUUGGGCAGGCUAAAGUAGCCUGUGAAAUGGGGUCGACAUUCAGCACAGAUUGUUGAAUACAUAAGGCAGUGAAUGCUGUGUUUCCAGGGAGUCAAAUUUCACUUUGCCACUUUUGAAUCUAACUUACGACUCAUUUCAAUGACAAAGAGAAACCAUGUCUGAGUGAAGUGUUAAGCAGCUGUAGCUUAAGUCAGGAAACCUGAAUCACACACAGUGAACCUGAAGUCGUGUGUAGGUGCGCCAGGUUGGGGAUUGCUCUCACCUGACAAGGCCCUCAAACAGAGCACCGAGCAGCAGAGCUCCCUCCACGGAAGCUCCGUCCACCAGCAAACUCACCCGCCAACUGAAUGAUGCUGCCAGAAAUACUAUCGUUUUGUGUAUGUCACGGCCUGAACAAGUUUGGGGACUGCUAUUAACUCAAAAACCAUAUAGUUAUGCAAAAAAAGUGAUUGGCAGCUUACUUUGGUUGGGGAAAAAGAGGAAAAAGACUUAUUAUUUAAAAAAUAUCAGAUCUCAGAGAACUGAUUGUUCAAGAAUUAAGAAAGCUGGAGACCUCUAUGAAUUAGAGACCACAGGAAGAAAAUCACAGCAAACAAGAAAGACAACUCCAGAGGGGUACCCUCAAAAUGAAGGAUGUAAACCAUAUCCUCUCUGUGCUCCGAAGUCAGAGUCCAGGGAGAGCCUGUCCACUUGAGAGAUCCAAGGUCACAAUCCACAUUCCUGGAUGUUGCCAAAGGAAACCUGAGCACAGGACCUCGUGAGGAGGCUGCCCGUGUCUUGGGAGUGGGGGCACCAGCCUAGACCUGGUGACUCACGGGCGUGUCCAGGUCCUGUGUCACGGGCCUACGGGGUGGCCAGGAGCAGC